GCCGAAGUAGCUCAGAGGUAGAGCGCUUCCUUGGUAAGGAAGGGGUCACGAGUUCAAUUCUCGUCUUCGGCU
rnacentral:tRNA from 1 species